UACGGGGGGAGCAAGCGUUGUUCGGAUUUACUGGGCGUAAAGGGCGCGUAGGCGGCCAGCGCAAGUCAGUUGUGAAAUCUCCGGGCUUAACUCGGAACGGUCAACUGAUACUGCGCGGCUAGAGUGCAGAAGGGGCAACUGGAAUUCUCGGUGUAGCGGUGAAAUGCGUAGAUAUCGGGAGGAACACCAGUGGCGAAGGCGGCACUCUGGGCCGGAACUGACGCUGAGGAGCGAAAGCGUGGGGAGCGAACAGG
rnacentral:rRNA from 1 species